CCGCGUUGGCCCGGGUAUGACGGUCUGGUAGUGGCUGCUGGCGAGUGCUCGAGACCGGCGGCAGGCGAGGCAGCUCUGCGGCGCUAGCGAUCGGAGAGGCUUUGAGAGAGGCUUCUGGAGGGAGAGAGAGGCUCCGGGAGUGAAAGAGAGGCUCCGGAGGUGAGCGAGAGGCUCCGGGAGUGAAAGAGAUAAACUCCGGGAGUGAGCGAGAGGCUCCGGGAGUGAGGGAGAGGCUUCAGUUAAAGAGAAAAAAAGAGGCUUCGGGCCUUCCCGAGGCGCUGGUCUUGUAUUCCCUCGGCGUCGCCUUCCCCGAGACUGACGAUCUGUGACCAUUUUUUUUUUCCUCUCUCUCUCUCUCUCUUUCUUUUUCUUGAGACGCAAUGUUACGGAAAUACUGUUGCUUCAUCUAAGUAAAAAAAAUUACGUCUUUUUGACGCUAUUUCUAAAACCACAUCCCUGAAAUGGAUAUUACGGAUGUCAUCGGCGCGCUGGUCGAAGUCACAGGAAAAAAGUGCCAUGACAGACUUCAAUAAACUACGCCGAAGGAACUGGUAAUCGGAGAUAAACAAAAACUUUUAUCGAACAGUUCAAAGUCAUCCGGGUCACAACAUCCCCUCCUCGUUUGGCUUCUGAACUGGCAGGUUAUCGCCGCUGGGGUAGCUUUCUGACUACUUAGAGAUAGACGGAGUUGAUAACUUCAUUAGCUAAAGGUAAAUAGAUCAAUCUUUCACGACAUCUCCAUCUACUUUUCUCUCUCUCUCUCUCACUCUCUCUCUCUCUCUCUCUCUCUCUCUCUCUCUCUCUCUC
rnacentral:lncRNA from 1 species